AUUGAACGCUGGCGGCAGGCCUAACACAUGCAAGUCGAGCGGAUGAAGUUUUCUUUCUCCUGUAUUCAGCUUCGUACUGGUGUGUAAUUCCUAUUAAUCUGCCUUGUAUUUGGUUAUCACGUCCGUUAACGGUCUCUUAUACCUCAUACUUCCUUAUUGUGAAAUUGUUUUUUCUUCUUACCUCUCUCUUUCAUCUGAUCCUAGGUCGUAUUAGCUAGUUGGUUUGGUAAAGGCCUACCAAGGCGACGAUCCGUAACUGGUCUGAGAGGAUGAUCAGUCAAACUGGAACUGAGACACGGUCCAGAAUCCUACGGGAGGAAGCAGUGGGGAAUAUUGGACAAUGGGCGAAAGCAUGAUCAAGCAAUGCCGCGUGUGUGAAGAAGGUCUUCGGAUUGUAAAGCACUUUAAGUUGGGAGGAAGGGAAGUAAGUUAAUACCUUGCUGUUUUGACGUUAACAACAGAAUAAGCACCGGCUAACUUCGUG
rnacentral:rRNA from 1 species